CAGGCCUAACACAUGCAAGUCGAGCGGUAUUGUUUCUUCGGAAAUGAGAGAGCGGCGUACGGGUGCGGAACACGUGUGCAACCUGCCUUUAUCUGGGGGAUAGCCUUUCGAAAGGAAGAUUAAUACUCCAUAAUAUAUUGAACGGCAUCGUUUAAUAUUGAAAGCUCCGGCGGAUAGAGAUGGGCACGCGCAAGAUUAGCUAGUUGGUGAGGUAACGGCUCACCAAGGCAAUGAUCUUUAGGGGGCCUGAGAGGGUGAUCCCCCACACUGGUACUGAGACACGGACCAGACUCCUACGGGAGGCAGCAGUGAGGAAUAUUGGUCAAUGGGUGCAAGCCUGAACCAGCCAUCCCGCGUGAAGGACGACUGCCCUAUGGGUUGUAAACUUCUUUUGUAUAGGGAUAAACCUACCCUCGUGAGGGUAGCUGAAGGUACUAUACGAAUAAGCACCGGCUAACUCCGUGCCAGCAGCCGCGGUAAUACGGAGGGUGCAAGCGUUAUCCGGAUUUAUUGGGUUUAAAGGGUCCGUAGGCGGACUUAUAAGUCAGUGGUGAAAGCCUGUCGCUUAACGAUAGAACUGCCAUUGAUACUGUAAGUCUUGAGUAUAUUUGAGGUAGCUGGAAUAAGUAGUGUAGCGGUGAAAUGCAUA
rnacentral:rRNA from 1 species